AAUGAACGUUGGCGGCGUGGAUUAGGCAUGCGAGUCGAGCGAGGAGAGUUUGGUAGCUUGCUAUUGAACUCGGAAAGCGGCGAAAGGGAGAGUAACGCGUAGUUACGUGCCCCAGGGUUCGGAAUAGCCACGGGAAACUGUGGGUAAUGCCGAAUAACAUCUCCGGAUCAAAGGUGUGAUUCCGCCCUGGGAGCGGACUGCGUCCUACUAGCUAGUUGGCGGGGUAAUGGCCCACCAAGGCAACAAUGGGUAGCGGGUGUGAGAGCAUGGCCCGUCUCACUGGGACUGAGACACUGCCCAGACACCUACGGGUGGCUGCAGUCGAGAAUCUUCGGCAAUGGGCGAAAGCCUGACCGAGCGACGCCGCGUGCGGGAUGAAGGCCCUCGGGUUGUAAACCGCUGUCGUAGGGGAGGAAGGCUCCAUGAAGAAUGGGGUUUGACCUAUCCUAGGAGGAAGUACGGGCUAAGUUCGUGCCAGCCGCCGCAGUAA
rnacentral:rRNA from 1 species